rnacentral:ncRNA from 2 species
GAAUAAUAUUCGUGCCCGGGUGCCCUUGGCGAAAGUCAGGGGAAAAGGGAACCAGGUGCAAAAUCCUGGACGGUCGGGCCACUGUAUAUGGGAAGCAGCUUAUCAAAAACCACUGGGGAAAACCCCCGGGAAGGCGGUAAGCUUGCAAUGACCCAUGAGUCAGGAAACCUGCCCGGGCAUAUAUUGGUGC